rnacentral:rRNA from 1 species
UACAGAGGGUGCGAGCGUUGUUCGGAAUUAUUGGGCGUAAAGGGCGCGUAGGCGGUGUUGUAAGUCACCUGUGAAACCUCUGGGCUCAACCCAGAGCCUGCAGGCGAAACUGCCGUGCUGGAGUAUGGGAGAGGUGCGUGGAAUUCCCGGUGUAGCGGUGAAAUGCGUUGAUAUCGGGAGGAACUCCGGCGGCGAAAGCGGUGCACUGGUGGAUUACUGACGCUGAGGUGCGAAAGCCAGGGGAGCAAACGGG